AGCGGGCGAAGCGGCGGCAGCCCCGGCAGCGGCGGCUCCGGCGCCAUCUUGGGCUGAUCGAUGAAUUGAACAAAGAGGAUCAAUUUCCGAUGGGGCCGAUGAAAGAGGCUGGAGUUCCUGUCUUCACCCUUUCUCCGCUGCCUCCCUGUUCUACCAGUCUGUUCUGUGUCCAGGCAACUGCAAAAAGACAUUUCAAAGGCUCCUGCCGUGCCAUGUAGAUGUUUUCUCUUGUUAGUUCGGACUGCAGGAUCAAGUCCCUCGUUUGCCAUUUUGUGUGGCAGCAAGCCCAAGGAAAUCUUGCUUGACAGCUCUGUUUUCUCAAAGUGCUGCAUUUCUUCGGGCUGGAUUCUGCAAAGAUCCUGCAGGCUACAGAGCUCCUUGGAGCAAGCAAUAAUGUGCUUUGUGUCCCUGCUGAAAAGUACCUGUGCACAAUGGGAGAGGGAGCUUGGAAAACUGGGUGCACCCUGGCAAGAAGAUGGUUAGAAUAAAGUUUUCUUGGGUUAUUAUGUUUUGAGGAAUCAUUCUCAUCUGUUCGUUUGAGGAAGGUUUUUCUAAAGUUAGAUUUGAUCUGUGUAAAUGCUGACUUCUUUCAAUGGGCACUAAUAGAGUACUGAAAAAGGAAGCACAGUGGAUUUGAAGUUUAAAUCUCAAAUGGUGGCAGCACCUACUACUGCUUGAUACAUCCAAAAUAAUUUUAAGUAUGUUGUACAGAUUUCUUUUUAGGAAUUGGGUGAAAAUUACAUAAAAAUGUGUUGCCUAUUAAUGUUGUAAGAUCUCACUGAUACAGCUAUUUAAUGAACAUAUUUGCACUUUGGACCAUCACAGAAAAUUGUGAUUCUUCAUGUCAUCAUCUGGAAUACUGAGGAAAAUGGAUCUUUAUUCCAAAGGUCCCAAACUGGUUGGGAGGAGUUCCUUAGCACAGCUGCUCCCCUGGGCAUCAGUCUG